GGCGGGGCUGCUCCGGGGAAAAAAGAUUCUCGCGGCCGCCAUCUCCGCGUCCUGGUCCAGAUAGUCUCGAAGUGCGAUCGCCGUUCAGGCCGGCUAUAAUCCAGUCUGGCACUCAAGCUUCAGUCAAAAGCUCUCACCGUCACCCUGUCCCAACUCUUGGACUCUGAUUGAAGUAGGAAGAAUACAUUUGCUAACAGUACCUUGUUUAGCAGAGCUAGAAGCAAUGUCCACAAUAGCCAAACUGUGGAAAGAGCCAAGAUGUCCAUCGACAGAUGAAUGGAUAAAGAAGAGGUGGUAUAUAUAUACAAUGGAAUAUUAUGCAGCCAUCAAAAGGAAUGAGAUCUUGCCAUUUGCAACGACGUGGAUGGAACUGGAGGGUAUAUGUUGAGUGAAAUAAGUCAAACAGAGAAAGACACGUAUCAUAUGAUCUCACUGAUAUGAGGAAUUCUUAAUCUCAGAAAACAAACUGAGGGUU